AGAAAAUAAAAGGGACAACACAAAUAUGUGCAGUACCCAUAGCGCGUAACGAAGCCAAACUUAAACCAAUAAAUAAUACUUUUGAAUCUCUUUCCUGCUCUGGAAGAUUUUGGAAGCAAGUACAAAAAAAGAAUGACAGAGACCAAUGUAGCGAGAUGGUUCUGCAGAAAUUAAAACCAUUUUUGGAGGGUAUCGUAUACCCUGGAGGGCAAAACUGAAUGGAGCAUAAAGUGGGGAAAAAAGACACCAGAAUACUCCCAGAGGAGAGCGAACAUGCUGAAGCUUCAGAGAUGGGCUUGGCGAGAGAGCCCCUAUCCCCUUGCAAGUUAUGCAUGUUUGCAGUAUGAUUGGUUAUGGACACCCUAAUCAUCGAAGACAUCAAAGGAAAGAGUAGCAGACACUUCAUGUGGGCCCCUGGGCGCCUGGCGGACCUCCUCGAGGGUAAAACACGGUGGUAACGUCACACGGCACGGCCACUGGAGCAGCCUGUGCAUUGUUAGCGCCUGUAAUCUGAGGGACAGUAGAAAGCGGGUUAAACAAGGCAUCUGACAGUGACUUGGAAGGCGAUCCCACUUAAAUCUCAAAUGAAGUACUUCAUGUGGUUUCAUUUACAAAUUUCUCUUUUUCGACGGCCUGCUCUCAGAGACCCACAUUGUCAAGGGAAUUAACAACUUUACCGCUGAGUUGUGUAAAUGAAAGAAAAGCUGGAUGAAAAUGUAUUUCUGUUCACGCCUUAUGAUGCCUUCUUAGGCUAAGGAACCGCCCACUUCCAUUCCCUCAAUGGCUCUUGUAAUACCAGCAUAAAUAUUCUGUGUUUGGGAAAAAAUGGCUACAUAGGGGGAGAGCAAGAAUGAUCCUGAAAUAUUUACACAACAACUCCAUUGUCAAAGAUCAUGAGAAAACGUCCACACAUGUAGUUGAACGUGCUUGGAAACAAAUGAAGUCAGGAGAUGCAUUUAUCGACUCAUUAAACUUCAUCAAACUUCCCAAGCUUGCUUGCUAAGACAUGCUUUUUGAAAUUUUGUGAUACAUGUGCUGAGGGUCUCUGAAAGAGCUACAGUAUUUGUUAUGAUGUGCAUGUACAAAACAUUUGUUUUAUAUAAGGUUUUUAAUAUGUAGUUAAACUUAAAUAAAGGAACCAGUUAUAAAUGUAUGUUUCUUUUUGGUUUGUCUUGGCUGGAAAGAAGCUGAUGCAAAAUCACCUCCUUCUUCUUUUGAUGGAUUUAUCGCACUAAUUUAUUACCAUUGAACUCGUGAAAUAUGCGGUAAGAUGCUGUUUUUCAGCAGGAGAGCUUGAUAUGAUGACACUCGUCUUUGUUGUGGCCAAAUUUUAAAAGUAGCAGGUUGAGAGAGAAGAGUUUCAUAUGUAAUUGUCUUUCUCAUCAGACAUCAUCAGACAGUGUAUAUAAUUAUUAAACGUAAGCUUUGUUUA